ACUAAUGUCUCCUCUCAGCCUUCAUGCUUUAUCUUUCUGAACAGAAUAAAAAGCUGUUUCAGUGUUACCAUGGAGUCAAACUUUCCAGGUGCUUAUCACCUGUUUGGUGAAGACCAGGGCAUACCGUAUCUCUCAGACUCGCUUGGUUUUCCAACCAUGGAUCCUUCUUCACCGGAAGACAACGAUUUCUCAGAAACUGUCAAGUUCAUAAGCCAAAUCCUCAUGGAAGAAAACGUUGACCAGAGGCCAUUCUAUGACUCACUCACCUUGCGAGUUACGGAGAAAUCCUUCUACGAUGCUCUCACUGGCAACCAACCCCCUUUUGUUCUUUGCUCCGAAGCUGAAACCAACACCAUAACCAGCAACAACAGUGGCAGCAAUUUUUUAAAUGAAAAUUCUCGUGAGUUAAACAUCCCUUCCCCACUCUCUGUUUCUGUUUCUGCUAUUCACUUUAACCCCAAUCCUCUUUCUCAACCACUGCCAUCAGUUACAGUUAGUGACCGGGUCUCAGUUUUGGAUUCUUCUAUUGCCAAACUCUUAGCGCAGAAUAUUUCCAUUGAGGUUGAUUCUGUUUCCAAGUUUAGGAGAGGCUUGGAGGAAGCUACCAAGUUUCUUCCUCCGGAGCCUAAACUUGUAACUGGUCUGGAUUUAUAUAGAGAGCAAGCAAUCAAUUCGUCCGGAGACACUUCGUAUAGGUUGAAUAGUAGGAAGAAUCACGGGUGUGAAGUGAGAGACACCAGAGAAGAAGAAGAAGAAGAAGGAGGGAGAAGUAACAAGCAAUCAGCACUUUCCCUUGUUGAUGAGACUGACCUGUCAGAUGCUUUUGAUCAGGUGUUGCUUCACGAGGAAAACUUGUGGAAUGAACACACUUGUUUGCAGAGUGAAGCAGAGAAGGUUGAGGGACCAAAUGGAGGGAAGGGUGGUUCAGACAAAAAAGUGAGGAAGAAGAAGAAAACAGUGGACUUGAGGAAUCUUCUGUUGAUGUGUUCACAAGCUGUGUAUGCCAGUGACAUCAGGGCUGCCAAUGAAUUGCUAAAGCAGAUUAGGCAACACUCUUCUCCCAUUGGGGAUGCAUCACAGAGGUUGGCUCAUUACUUUGCCAAUGGCCUCGAGGCACGCUUGGUUGGGGAUGGUACAAGUACCCAAGGAAUGUAUACUUUUCUGAGCUCUAAGAACAUCACUUUUUCUGAGUUACUCAAGGCAUACCAGGUUUUCAGUUCCUCCAGCCCUUUCAAGAAGUUUGCAUAUUUAUUUGAAAAUACAAUGAUUAUGAAAGCAGCUGCAAGUGCAGAAACCGUCCAUAUUAUUGAUUUUGGCAUCCUACACGGUUUCCAGUGGCCAAUGCUCAUUAGGCUUUUGUCAAAUAGGGAGGGUGGACCUCCCAAGCUUAGGAUCACAGGGAUAGAGUUUCCCCAACCUGGCUUUCGUCCCACAGAAAAAAUUGAGGAAACGGGUCGCCACCUGGCUAACUAUUGUAAGCGUUACAAUGUUCCCUUUGAGUAUAAUGCCAUAUCAUCAAGGAACUGGGAAACCAUUCAGCUUGAAGCCCUCAAAAUUGCAAGCAAUGAGCUAGUUGCUGUCUACUGUCACCAGAGGUUUGAGAAUUUACUGGAUGAGUGUACUAUUGAAGUGAACAGUCCUAGAAAUGCAGUCCUGCAUUUGAUCAGGAAGAUAAAUCCGGAUAUUUUUACUCACUCCAUCACUAACGGAUCAUAUAAUGCCCCUUUCUUUACCACGCGGUUUAGGGAGGCUCUCUUUCAUUAUUCUGCCAUUUCUGAUAAGAAUGACACUGUCAUAUCUCGUGAAAACGAAAGGAGGUUGAUGGUUGAGAGAGAGCUUUAUGGCAGGGAGAUUAUGAAUGUUAUAGCAUGUGAAGGUUCUGACAGGAUUGAGAGGCCUGAGACCUACAAACGGUGGCAGGUUAGGAAUAUGAAGGCUGGUUUCAAGCAGCUACCACUGAAUGAGGAAUUAAUGGCCAAAUUUAGGAGUAAGUUAAAGGAAUACCACAGAGAUUUUGUCUUAGAUGAAAAUAACAACUGGAUGCUUCAAGGUUGGAAGGGCCGCAUUUUGUUUGCUUCCUCUUGUUGGGUGCCGGCAUAAUGAGAUGCUACUGUGACUCGGUUCAGAAUUCAUACUAUGCUAAAGGUAUGAUUCCAAGAAUCAGUCAUUGGCUUUAACUCUAUCCACUUCUUUUUUUCCCUGGUUCUGAUAUUCUUGGUCUGGCUACCUACUUACUCUACCUUCAGCUUUUGUGAUGAAGAUUGUACCAAGCUUUGCACCAAGUUCCUUGGUAAAAUUAUAGCAUCACUUUUCUGGUAGAUUAAGACUUGUGAAGGUAAUACAAUUUCGUUAGUGAUAUUGAUAAGAAGGGCAUAUUAGUCAUCAGAGUAGGAGGGCCAUUAUAGCAUGUUUGCCCAAGUACUUGCAAUCCUAUUAUUGAGUUAUUUUCUCUUUAACCAACAUGUAUCAGGCAUUUCACGUCCUUCUAUUUAAGUUUGUUAAUUUCUUUUACAGGAUACUUGUCUUUUGAGACAAAUUAGUUGAGAAGAUGUGAUUAAUUUGAAACAGAUGAUGACUAUGUUCCGUUUGUUUUUUCCGGUGAUAUUCUUGCUUGCAGUUUUGUAUUUCUAUAUAUAGCAACUUAUGUGAAAAUCAUGAUUUCCUCUCAGCAUCUCUAAAAUUUACUGGUAAUUUGUUCCA